CCUAAAAACCUAGCGGCAACAUGGAAGGACCAGAGAGGCAUCUGGCCUUAUAAUAAGGCCGGCGGUGCAGGCCUCCCUGGUGUGGCAUACAACCAGAUCGAGCGGUUGAAGAAGAAGACAAUAGGAUAGCCCUCCCAGAUCUGGCCGGCCGGACCGACUGGCGCCGUGCCGACGAGGCGACGACGAAGGCGUCUGUGUACAUGGGUUUGAUCUUUCUCUCUCCGCUUCCGCUCCUCUCUCUCUCUCUCUCUGCGUGUCGACCGUCUGCUGUGUCCGAUGGGAUCGGUCGGGGGCUGCGGUGGAGGGUUGAUGAUGGUGCGAAUGGCUGACAGAAGAGAGUGAGCACACAGCGGCAGACUACGUCUGGUAAAGAGGACGGAUGGAUGCGAAGAGAGAUAUAGACGCAGCUGCUGUUGCGUGCUCACCCUCUCUCUGUCAGCUCUCUCUCCGCCUUGGGACUUGUUCCGCCAUCAAUCAAUCUAUCCAUCCAUCUCCCCUUGCCGUUCCCAUCGCUUCGCAGCCAUCUUUGCCUGCAUCGACUGCCGAGAAGAGGCAGGAUGAGCUUUGUCUUGCUUGCUGUGUCCCCACCUCAGCCCUAUCUUGUCCGGAUUCCGACGGCCUAGCCUAGCCCCCUGCUAUUUGGAAUAAGGUACGCUGUGCGCAUGCACGCCAUGGAUUCUUGCGCCGGCAGCCACCAAUUCCUAUUCCUUUAAAUUUCCCCUCUUUGGGGUGUCUCUCUCUCCUAGCCGUCUUUGCUUCUUCCAGGAUUAGCUAUCGCCUUGGGGGAAGGGGGACGCGUGUUGAUUUGAUUAACGCAGGUGGUGUUAUUUUGCUCGACUCCCCAGGAGUGCUUAACGGAAAGCACUGUUUGACCAGUCCUUGCCAUGCCCUUCUCCCUCCUCCUCCUCAUCAUCUUCUUCCUCCUGUACUCCACCCCCUCUCUCUUUGUUGCUGCUUUAACUUUUUUUCGAUGGAUCACGAAAUUUCCAUAGUUUUUCUCCCCCUUUUGCUUCCUUAUCUCAUGUGCUGCUGUGAGGCAGGCAGGAAGGAGGCAGCUAUGGCGGCGGCGGCAGAUCUACAAUACUUGGCUGCAAGUGGAAAGCCGGCACAUAGCCGAUGGCGACGGCGCCUCCCAGAUCUGUGGGAACGUUCGGUCAGUCCAUGUUUCUCCUUAAUUUGUGUCCCGAUAAAGUGGCCAUGCCUCCUCGUACAUGGCCUAUUAGUGGUAUGACCAUGUGAGUUGUUUGCUUUUUCUGUAUUAUUGUUCCUGAUGGUUUUGCCUCUAAUGGCGACUCUACAUCUCAUGGACUUGCCUGUGAUGUGAACUAGAAACGUAUAUCCUGCAGUUUAGCCUCUGCCGCUUUUUAUUCAGCCGUGUUUUGGUCUUUUAAUUCCUGGCUAUAUGGUCUCCAUGUAAGAAGCUGCAAACGAACAGCCAGCACAGUCAACCCCAUGGUCGUUUCUUUCAUUGUAUGCAUCGUAUGUAGAGCUUGGUUCACUUUUGAGGAGAUCUUCUUGGAGAUCCGUAAGAGUAUGGUUUCUGAUAAAUCUCCGCAGUUUCUUCUAGCUUCACAUAAAAUUGCUAUUUUAUUUUUCCUGGACAUCAAUUUUUUUCUUAGGUGAAUCAACAGUACUUAACUCUUGCCAACACUUUUAAAUUUGGCAUAUGUGUUCUUGUUUCUCACACAAGCUAUGCAACAUUGUCAACUUAUAGGCAUAUGUACUGGUGGUUUCUCAGCAAUUUAUUUCUCUUUGGCAUUAGACCCCUUCGGCUCUAACACCAACUUAAUGACGCAUAGAGUUGCUUAAUUUCUAGCAAGCAGCAAAAGAUAUCAUUUGUUUGGUUACCUGAUCAUGUAAUGGAUUGCCUGGUAGUAUAACAUAUUUGGUCACCUGAUCAUGUAAUGGAUCUUUUUAAUAGUAUGACUUAUUUUUGGAUAUAUUACAUGUGCAGAGAGCACAAGACUUUUCACCCUGGAAGUACUUUUCCUGGUAACGUUCAAUUGAGCUGCUUAUGAAUGGCCUAAAGUAAAAAUUUAUGUUGAGCGGAAGAAUGCUUCUGGGUUUUAUCUGUAAUGACAACUAGUUCUCUAUUGUACAUAGAACUAGUCUACUGCUGUUCUCCAUAAUUAACCCAUAAUGACCAUCUCUCAAUUCUGACUGUUCUUUUUUGACAUCCAUUACUAGAACAACAGAUGCAUGCUGCCUUCCAGGAGAUGAAGUGGCUGCAUGACGGCACACUUUCGUUUGCUACUUUCAGGGAAAAGUUGGAGCAGAACAGAAAUAAUUUACCCCCUAAACCAAGAAAUGUAUUUAAAAGGAGAAAGCUGUGCCGCCAAGCCUCAGAAACUUAUGCCGAAGAUGUAUUUCCCAUUUGGUGAAUCCAUGGUGCCACUUCUAUUUAUCUAUCAUGAGUUCCAGUUAGCCCUUUCUGGUGUUCGUGAUUUCUGGCUUCAUCAGGAAAUAUGGCAUGAACGGCAUGAUCUUUUCUUCCGUGCAAUUCAGGAGACUGUUGCAAGUGUUAUGGGAAGCAUCAUCCUUUUUCUCAUGUUCGUCAUCUCUUAAAAGCAUUGUAGUUUCCUCGUCGCGUCUUGUAAGCUUCAGAUUUUGUGCUCCAAUAUCUGCUGAUAUAUCCUCCAUCUCAACGAUGAAGUAUGCAGUUUAUCGUGAACAACAUCUAUGUCUGGUUUGGUAAGCUAGCUUAAAGUCUGCUGUUUACUUUUGAGACUGGACUCGCGAUCUCUGUAACAGAUUGUCUUUCUGUACAAAAUAAAAAUUCACUGUAAAUUUUAAGCUGCUUCUAUA